GACGAACGCUGGCGGCGUGCUUAACACAUGCAAGUCGAACGGAAAGGCCCUGCUUUUGUGGGGUGCUCGAGUGGCGAACGGGUGAGUAACACGUGAGUAACCUGCCCUUGACUUUGGGAUAACUUCAGGAAACUGGGGCUAAUACCGGAUAGGAGCUCCUGCUGCAUGGUGGGGGUUGGAAAGUUUCGGCGGUUGGGGAUGGACUCGCGGCUUAUCAGCUUGUUGGUGGGGUAGUGGCUUACCAAGGCUUUGACGGGUAGCCGGCCUGAGAGGGUGACCGGCCACAUUGGGACUGAGGUACGGCCCAGACGCCUACGGGAGGCAGCAGUGGGGAAUAUUGCACAAUGGGCGGAAGCCUGAUGCAGCAGCGCCGCGUGCGGAAUGACGGCCUUCGGGUUGUAAACCGCUUUCGCCUGUGACGAAGCGUGAGUGACGGUAAUGGGUAAAGAAGCACCGGCUAACUACGUG
rnacentral:rRNA from 1 species